rnacentral:lncRNA from 1 species
AAAAAAAAAACCAAAUUUAAGACAUUUUCAUAGAAAUCACAGAUCGAAUGCCCUUCUGAAAAAAAACUCAACAAAGAAUAGAUUACAUGUUUAUCGCAUCUGGGUAUGCAAAAAAACUCAAUUUUGACAUCAUUAAUUCAUUCAAUUUUUUUUUCCUUCAAAAAUGGAUUUUUUUUCUCUGAUAAAAUUUCCCAUUAACCAACUAAAUGAAAACUAUCAUCGUUGCAUUUUACCAACAAAUACAAAAAAACCCCAUUUUUUCUUUUCACUGAAAAUCAAGGAAUGACAAAAAUGAAAGUUUUCUCUUUUCAGCAAACAAUAAGGGGGCAAAAACCAAAUCCCAGAUUUUUUUCUUCAGAGAAACCAAACAAAGAAAGAAGGUGUAAGAAGAUGAAGAAGAAGGAAUAUGAGAAGAUCCAUUUGUUAUUGUUGUUGUGAACAACCUUGUGAGACGAUUAGGUUGUUGUUGUUGAUGAUGAUGUGAAGUUUCUUUCUCAGAAAGAGUAACACCAGAACGGCUAUUAUGA